AUACUGUGCGCUGAUAAGAAAGGACACAGCUGUAAAAAGCCACCCGGACCUGAAGAGGCCUUUAUUGAAUGAUGGAAUGUGGUGUCUGCUGAGUGCUGAGAGUCCAGCAAAGUUAUCGGAUUGUCAGCCCAGAAGAGGACUAGACAAGAGGACAAAAGUCAAUUUCUGUGAAAACUUUCCUCAAGUAUCGGUUGCUGAGUAAAGCAGUCAAAACUCCAGAGGACAAACCCAAAGUUCAGGAGAGCCACAACAUUCCAAUGGAACUGCAUGACUGCACCCAAAGUGGCCAAAAGUCCUUCAAGCCUCACUCAUGAAACGCCCCAAGAUACC